AAAAACAUGGCUUUUUGAAUUUAAUUUAAGGUCUAGCCUGCUCAAUGAAUUUUAAAUAGCCGCAGUACCCUGACUGUGCAAAGGUAGCAUAAUCAUUAGUUUUUUAAUUGAAAGCUGGAAUGAAAGGUUGAAUGAGAAAAUAGCUGUCUCUGUAAAAAUUUUAUAGAAUUUUAUUUUUAAGUUAAAAAGCUUAAAUUUUAAUAAAAGACGAGAAGACCCUAUAGAGUUUUAUAUUUAUAAAUAAUGUAUUUUUACUUUAGCAUUCUAAAUUAUAUUAUUUUAUAAUAUUUGGUUGGGGUGAUUAGAAAAUUAAAUAAACUUUUCUUUAAAUUUAAACAUUUAUUUAUGGUAUUAUGAUCCUUUUAUAAAGAUUAUAAGAUAAAAUUACCUUAGGGAUAACAGCGUAAUUUUUUUUGAGAGUUCUUAUCGAAAGAAAAGAUUGCGACCUCGAUGUUGGAUUAAAUUAAAUUUUUGGUGUAGAAGCUAAAUUGAUUAGGUCUGUUCGACCUUUAAAAUUUUACUUGAUCUGAGUU
rnacentral:rRNA from 1 species